rnacentral:lncRNA from 1 species
GGUCUCGACCCCAGCCCCCCACCAUAGCUAGAUUGCCGCUCAACGAAUGGUCGAGGAGGAGGUGGUGGCUGAGAGUAGUACCCGGGGUAGUAACUGGCGUACGGAUCAGAGUAGCUGCCGCAAGGAUAGGAAUGCGACGGAGGAGGCGGUGGAGAUGGAGAAGCAGGUGGCGGCGGAGGAGGGUGUGAGGAGUACGGAGAAGGAGAAUAUGAUCUAUAGGUAGGCGGCGGCGGAGGGGCAGUAGAGUAAUAGUAGCUAGAAGGAGGGGGUAUUUGGUAAUCCUGGGGGUUUGGAGAUUCACGAAUAGCGAGCUUCAGUCGGAUCUUACCGUGAGGACGACCCGAG